ACUCAUCAGAGCUUCUCAUGGUAGCUUGCCCUCCAUCUAUCAGGCUGGAAAGAAUUCUUGCUUCAGAUGUGCUGAUAGACCAUUCUGGGCUUUUGCAAGACCUUGCCCAUGGGGCAAAUCGCAAACUAACAUAGAUAAACCCAUCCACUUCAAAUGGGACCUACGGUUGUCUUUCUUCAGGAUCUGAUGACUGGAGCUGUGUCUGAAAGCUGAAUCUAUUUUCUGCUAGCUCAACUAAGGUGAUAGCAUCGUAGACAUGAGGAGGGCUUGGCAUUAUCUUCUGUCUGUCAUUUACUUAAAGGACCAGUUGAUGAUGA